rnacentral:lncRNA from 1 species
AGGACUCCUCUUUCUCUUUUCUCCUUGGAAGUUUGCAUCCAUGGCUCUGCGUGGCUAAAGCUUUUAUUGGUCUAAGAAAACAGAAGCCUCAGAAUCAAUAAAACUGUGAGAUCUGAAUUUGUUUUCAUUGUUUAAUUCAUGCUUUGAUGUCGAAUGUCCUUCUGUGCAUAUUUUCAUGAUUAUUUUCGUUUAAUGACUAGGAGGCCUACUAGUUUAUUAUUCAUUGCAAUCUACUGCUAGGUUAGAUAUCAAAUCCGUAAUUGUUUGAUUCCUCUAAUCUGUGAAGCAACUAAGAUCUAAUAAUUUGCUGCGUCAGAAAUUUUCAGAUCUUAGGAAGAAUACUCGGCUAAAUCAAAUGCAACUGCUUGUGUUUGUGUUGUUUAGUUUCAUUGAUCUCUCUAAUUCUUAAGGCUGCUACUAGAUUAAACCUUUAGCGCUUGUCUUGGGUUGUUUAGUAGUUAGGGUUAAUUA